CAUUUAUGUCCGUUAUGUUUAAACCUGUAUAAACCUUGUUUAUUGAUCGACCAGGAUUUCUCCAUGAUGUUUGCUGAUGAAGUGUCUCAGAAGUUCCUGGCAAAGUCGUCAACAUUCUUCAAGUCAAAAAUCAUUGCAGACUGCAAGACUCUUAAGAAUAUGGGCGAGCUGCUGUCAGGAACUGAACCUGAAUCUGAGGACUACGAUGCGACAUGUCCUCAAUCCUUUUGCUGCUGCAUCUGCUCCCUCUAACCUCAAGAGGCCAGAAAAAAAACAUCCAAGAUCAGUUCAGCUCAAGCAACCAGCCAUCUUGUGAGAUAUCUUAAGGAAGGAGCCAGUGUGACUACCUUCACUGAGAGUGCUGACACAAGACAACCAUUCCUCCUCUGCAUCGGUGAGUGAAAGAAGGACAUCCAGAAGUUCUACGUUAUUAUCGACCCAAAACCGAUCCCAUGUAAGGCGCACACAUCAGUGGCAGCUUUUGAUGAACUGUUCAAAGUUCACUAUGUCUUCAGUCUCUCAUAUGAUGAAGCUCUUUGUUAUUUUUACACAUUGAUCCAAACCACCAUCUAUAACAUCGAUGUCAGAAGAGCAAAGUAGAGCCCGCGUGUUAAAGAACUUCGAGCACGAUUGCUGCAGCGAGAUUAACAGCCUUGAAGAUGUUCACGUGUUUUGUAUGUAAAGCGCACCUCAGAACUUGUUUGGUUCUUCGUCAACAUUUAAAAUUUCAACAUGGAUUAUAUCCUAGCAAAAAGUUAUGUUUAAAAUGUAGAGAGCCAGGUCGCCCGUUAUCAUUUUGUACUUAUAGUGGCUUCCGAAAACAUCUCGGCAAGAUACACAGUCACACUAUGGAUCAAGAGAUUGAUACUAAUCAGGAUCUUUCCACUCAGGGAGAAUAUGAGGCGGAAUGUUCAAACGAUCGCCCAAAUUCUGUUGCCACUUUACAUCCUUCACAAAGUUCCAGUUCUUAAAACUGUUACUCCUGACAGUACAAGUUCAGACACUUGUAGAAGAGUAGAACACUGUUUUGAUCAAUUAUGUAAUCCUUUUU
ensembl:lncRNA